rnacentral:rRNA from 1 species
AUUGAACGCUGGCGGCAUGCUUAACACAUGCAAGUCUAGCGAGCGGCGGACGGGUGAUUGAUUUCUGGGAAACUGCCUGAUGGAGGGGUCUCACUACUGUAAACUGUAGCUAAUACCGCAUACCAUCAGAUGUGCCCAGCUGGGAUUAGCUAGUAGGUGGGGUAAUGGCUCACCUAGGCGACGAUCCCUAGCUGGUCUGAGAGGAUGACCAGCCACACUGGAACUGAGACACGGCCCAGACUCCUACGGGAGGCAGCAGUGGGGAAUAUUGCACAAUGGGCGCAAGCCUGAUGCAGCCAUGCCGCGUGAGUGAAGAAGGCCUUCGGGUUGUAAAGCACUUUCAGCGAGGAGGCGUUACCUGAAGAAGAAGCAACGGCUAACUCCGUGCCAGCAGCCGCGGUAAUUC